GGAGACACGGUUCAGUGGUAGAAUGCUUGCCUUGCAUGCACGAGGCCCUAGGUUCAAUUCUCAGUACUGUCUCCC
rnacentral:tRNA from 1 species